rnacentral:rRNA from 1 species
CAUGGAGGGUGAGAAUCCCGUCCGGUUGAUCAUUUGCGUUUUACGAUACGCUCUCUAAGAGUCAAGUUGUUUGGGAUUGCAGCUUUAAAUGGGAGGUAAAUUUCUCCUAAGGCUAAAUAACGGCGAGAGACCGAUAGCGAACAAGUACCGUGAGGGAAAGAUGAAAAGAACUUUGAAAAGAGAGUUAAACAGUACGUGAAAUUGUUGAAAGGGAAACGAUUGAAGCCAGUCGUACCUUCGGGUAAUCAGCCUUUCGGGUGCGAUUCUGUGGAGUGUGAGGAGCUUAACACCUUCAUGCUUUGCAUAUUUGUGCUCUUGGGUGUACUUGCCCGUGUGGUUGGUUAACAUCAAUUUUGAUUAUCAUAAAAUGACUGGAGGAAUGUAGCUUCGAUCUCGUAUUGAAGUGUUAUAGCCUUUGGUAGAUGUGAUGAUCGAGAUUGAGGAUUGCAACGGAUACCCUUCGGGGCUACCUGCCUGGUCUCUGAUCGUUGCUCUGGUGCCGAAAGCGUGCUUACGGUUAUCAAAGUCGAUGGUCAAUAGGUUAGAACGGGUUAAAUUCGUUAAGGAUGUUGACGUAAUGG